rnacentral:rRNA from 1 species
AGGAUGAACGCUAGCGGCAGGCCUAAUACAUGCAAGUCGAACGGGAUUGGAGAGCUUGCUUUCCAUGAGAGUGGCGUACGGGUGCGUAACGCGUAUGCAACCUACCUUCAUCAGGGGGAUAGCCCGAAGAAAUUCGGAUUAACACCGCAUAAAAACACAACCUGGCAUCAGGAAAUGUUCAAAUAUUUAUAGGAUGAAGAUGGGCAUGCGUGUCAUUAGCUAGUUGGUGAGGUAACGGCUCACCAAGGCGACGAUGACUAGGGGAUCUGAGAGGAUGACCCCCCACACUGGUACUGAGACACGGACCAGACUCCUACGGGAGGCAGCAGUAAGGAAUAUUGGUCAAUGGAGGCAACUCUGAACCAGCCAUGCCGCGUGCAGGAAGACAGCCCUAUGGGUCGUAAACUGCUUUUAUACGGGAAUAAACCUUGAUUCGUGAAUCAAGCUGAAUGUACCGUAAGAAUAAGGAUCGGCUAACUCCGUGCCAGCAGCCGCGGUAAUACGGAGGAUCCAAGCGUUAUCCGGAUUUAUUGGGUUUAAAGGGAGCGUAGGCGGCCUAUUAAGUCAGGGGUGAAAGACGGUGGCUCAACCAUCGCAGUGCCUUUGAUACUGAUGGGCUUGAAUGUAGUUGAGGUAGGCGGAAUGUGACAAGUAGCGGUGAAAUGCAUAGAUAUGUCACAGAACACCGAUUGCGAAGGCAGCUUACUAAGCUAUGAUUGACGCUGAGGCUCGAAAGCGUGGGGAUCAAACAGGAUUAGAUACCCUGGUAGUCCACGCCCUAAACGAUGAUAACUCGAUGUUGGCGAUAUACAGUCAGCGUCCAAGCGAAAGCG